UUUAAAGUUGGGAAACCCAAGCCAAACAUCAAACUGGUACCUGACAGCAGCAGCCGAUCUCCUGUAACUUGGAUAUCACUGGAUUUUGAAUAUGGAAGGAAGAAACAUUGUUCUCAAUGGAGAGAAACUCUGGCAAUGUGAGGACUGUGGGAGGAGAUUCAAUCACCCAUCUGUCCUGGAUAGGCCUCAGGGUUGCCACACAGGGGAGAGGCCAUUCAGCUGCUCUCUGUGCGGGAAGGGCUUUGCUUGGACUUCCACCUGCUGAGACACCAGCACGUUCACACUGGGGAGAGACCUUUUAAAUGUCGUGACUGUGGAAAGUCUUUCAAAAGUUCCCGGGAACUGAUGCAUCAUCAAAAUGUUCACACAGAUGAGAGACCUUUUGAAUGUCACGACUGCGGGAAGUGCUAUAAAAGUUCGAGGGACCUGAUGUCCCAUCAACGUGUCCAUACAGAUGAGAGGCCAUUCAGGUGCUCUCACUGUGGGACUGGAUUCAGAACAUCAUCUCAACUCACUUCUCACACUGGGGAGAAGCCGUUUAACUGCUCCAUGUGUGAAAAGAGAUUCACUCAGUCGAUCACGCUACUGAGACAUCGGCGGGCUCACCCUGGAGAGAGAAACCAUUCAUCUGCUCCGGUUGUGGGAAGGGAUUCACGCAGCUAUCCCAUCUGCUCAGGCACCAUCAAGUUCACACAGGGGAGAGAGUGUGGAAAGGGAUUCACUCAAUCAUCCAAUCUGUUGAGACACCAGCGCAUUCACUCUGGGGAGAGACUGUUCAUCUGCGUGGAGUGUGGGAAGGGAUUCGUUCAGGCCUCUCUUCUUCUCGCACACCGUUCUCUGCUUUCUGAGUGAAAACUGCCUCCGCUCUGAUGGAAGUGAGAUUCAGCCGAAUGUACAGUGAGUGUCGACACACUCCAAGGGACAAGUUCCACUCCCGCCCGUGGACCAACAAAGCUGCUCACAGUUAUGGAACGGGAAAGGCCAAUUCCUGGGGGACUGAUCGAGAAUGUUCAAGGUGACAUCACCCGCUCCCCAAGUAUUUCCUCAACUGAAGUUUUUCUUGGAUGUGUGUUUCUGAU